rnacentral:rRNA from 1 species
CGUAGGUGGCGAGCGUUAUCCGGAAUUAUUGGGCGUAAAGAGCGAGCAGGUGGUUGAUUAAGUCUGAUGUGAAAGCCCACGGCUUAACCGUGGAGGGUCAUUGGAAACUGGUCGACUUGAGUGCAGAAGAGGGAAGUGGAAUUCCAUGUGUAGCGGUGAAAUGCGUAGAGAUAUGGAGGAACACCAGUGGCGAAGGCGGCUUCCUGGUCUGUAACUGACACUGAGGCGCGAAAGCGUGGGGAGCAAACAGGAUUAGAUA